rnacentral:rRNA from 1 species
UACGGAGGAUCCAAGCGUUAUCCGGAUUUAUUGGGUUUAAAGGGUGCGUAGGUGGCCUGUUAAGUCAGGGGUGAAAGACGGUAGCUCAACUAUCGCAGUGCCCUUGAUACUGAUGGGCUUGAAUGAACUAGAGGUAGGCGGAAUGUGACAAGUAGCGGUGAAAUGCAUAGAUAUGUCACAGAACACCAAUUGCGAAGGCAGCUUACUAUGGUUUUAUUGACACUGAGGCACGAAAGCGUGGGGAGUCAAACAGG